GUGCUUGCUUUGGCAACACAUAUACUAAAACUGGAACAAUAGAGAAGAUCAGCAUGGCCACUGCACAAGGAUGGCAUGCAGAUUCAUGAAGCAUUCCGUAUUUUA
rfam:Caprimulgus carolinensis contig75715, whole genome shotgun sequence.